CUACGGGAUGCAGCAGUGAGGAAUAUUGCACAAUGGAGGAAACUCUGAUGCAGCAACGCCGCGUGGAGGAUGACGCAUUUCGGUGUGUAAACUCCUUUUAUAUGUCAAGAAAAUGACGGUAGCAUAUGAAUAAGCUCCGGCUAACUCCGUGCCAGCAGCCGCGGUAAUACGGAGGGAGCAAGCGUUACUCGGAAUCACUGGGCGUAAAGGACGCGUAGGCGGGAUAGAAAGUCAGGUGUGAAAUCCCAUGGCUCAACCAUAGAACUGCACUUGAAACUUCUAACCUAGAGUAUGGGAGGGGAAGAUGGAAUUAGUGGUGUAGGGGUAAAAUCCGUAGAUAUCACUAGGAAUACCAAAAGCGAAGGCGAUCUUCUGGAACAAUACUGACGCUAAGGCGUGAAAGCGUGGGGAGCAAACAGGAUUAGAUACCCCGGUAGUC
rnacentral:rRNA from 1 species